GACGAACGCUGGCGGCGUGCCUAACACAUGCAAGUCGAACGGACGAGAUUUCUUCGGAGAUCGAGUUAGUGGCGAACGGGUGAGUAACGCGUGAGCAACCUGCCUUUCAGAGGGGGACAACAGUUGGAAACGACUGCUAAUACCGCAUAACGUAUCGAGGGGGCAUCCUCUUGAUACCAAAGAUUUAUCGCUGAAAGAUGGGCUCGCGUCUGAUUAGCUAGUUGGUGGGGUAACGGCCCACCAAGGCGACGAUCAGUAGCCGGACUGAGAGGUUGAACGGCCACAUUGGGACUGAGAUACGGCCCAGACUCCUACGGGAGGCAGCAGUGGGGAAUAUUGGGCAAUGGGGGGAAACCCUGACCCAGCAACGCCGCGUGAAGGAAGAAGGCUUUCGGGUUGUAAACUUCUUUUACCAGGGACGAAGACGUGACGGUACCUGGAGAAAAAGCCACGGCUAACUACGUG
rnacentral:rRNA from 1 species